UGGGGAAUAUUGGACAAUGGGCGCAAGCCUGAUCCAGCCAUGCCGCGUGAGUGACGAAGGUCUUCGGAUUGUAAAGCUCUUUUGGCGGGGACGAUAAUGACGGUACCCGCAGAAUAAGCCCCGGCUAACUUCGUGCCAGCAGCCGCGGUAAUACGAAGGGGGCUAGCGUUGUUCGGAAUUACUGGGCGUAAAGCGCACGUAGGCGGACUGAUAAGUCAGGGGUGAAAUCCCGGGGCUCAACCUCGGAACUGCCUUUGAUACUGUUAGUCUCGAGUCCGGAAGAGGUGAGUGGAAUUCCUAGUGUAGAGGUGAAAUUCGUAGAUAUUAGGAAGAACACCAGUGGCGAAGGCGGCUCACUGGUCCGGUACUGACGCUGAGGUGCGAAAGCGUGGGGAGCAAACAGGAUUAGAUACCCCGGUAGUCCCUGAGCGGGCUGGCAAGGCGCAU
rnacentral:rRNA from 1 species